AACCCGUGGAAAAAUCAGUGUGUGAAGACUGUUUCUGUGCAGUCAUUCUAGCCAGGGUGUAAUGCCAAAUUUUAAACUGUCUGGAUGCCAAGGAAGAGAUCUGCUGUGGCUGAGACGAUAUGCAGAAUUUCGUGAAGAUGACAGGAAAACUAAAACCAAAGCUGUGAUAAUUAGAAGCUAAGUUAAGAGAAAUUUUGAGUGUAAAAAGCUUAAAACUUGCUUCGGGACAUUUUGAAUGUAUUGAAUGAAAUAAUUAUUCCCUUCAGACUUGCUGGAGGGAGAUUGCAAGAAUGUCAGAUUCCUCUCUACUUCUAGAGAUGGCUGUCCUGGGUUACACGGAAAAUGUGCAGAAUGUACUAAUCGGUAGUGAUACUGUGGAGUGUGAUGUGUGGUACCCAGAUCCAUCUGAUUUGCACGUCCCUUUAACUUUCAGAGUGUGAAAUAAGUCCACUGGACCCAAAGCAGAAAGAGAAGGGUAAUUGGGAACAAGAUGCAGAAUCUGAAACAAAAUUCUGUAGAAACAGAAAAACAACCAUUGAAGCGAAAGUCGCAUCCUUUCAAUGCUAUUCUGUGCUGUGAAUCCCCUUGUUUUCCUGGAAAUGAGAUCUACCAUAGUUUAAUCAGUGCCCUGCUGUUGGAUGCUUGAAACUUUCAUAUUCUUUUGUAUGACAAAGUAUAGUACUAAGAAUAAGUAGUUUCAUAGUCAUUUUUUGUGUGUAUGCACAGUUACAUAUGUAGACUCAGUUUCCAGAGGUGAGAUUACUGAGUUAAGGACAAAUUGCCUUGGUGUUAGACUGAAGAGUGUCCCCUCCAAGAUGUCUACAGCCUCAUUCCUGGAACCUGUGAAGAUGUCACACUGCACUGCAGAGGAUGCUUUGAAGACGUGAGGAAGAUUCAGAAUCUUGAGAGGGGAGGUUGUUUUGAAUUACCUGAAUUACUCACAUGAGUGUUUGUGGAAGAAGGAUGAGGAACACUGGGUAAUGCAGAUGUGAUUUGAGAAGAACUUGACCCACCAUUACUGUCUUAGAAGAUAGAAGAUGAGAAUCAGGAAACAAGAAGGUCUCUGGAAACUGUCUCUGGACAGUGACCCUCAAUUGACAACCACAAAAAUUCGAAAUGUAUUCUCCCAUAGUCUCCAGUGAAGAAGGUAGCUCUACCUUUAACCCAGUGAGACUCAUGUUGGACAUCUGUUCUACAAAACUAUGAGGCCCAGGAGUUGCUGAGGAUGAAUGCUGUCAUGAAGAAGAAGAGCUGAGAGGAAUAUUCAUGCUCUGUUUGUGUUUCCAGAUGUGCUAUGCAGGUGCAUCUGUACACUUUUUGUGGAACAGAGUGGUUAAAGAAAAGGGAGGAGGACAGGGAUGUGUUCAGGGUAAAUCCUUCCUCGAAGAGCCUCCUCUUUUCC